UGAAAAUCCAUGAUUGGUGUCAGCUAACUGGUAUUCUCAGAUCCUAUUCAGGUACACUCAACACAUGGUAACCAGGUUUAGGGAUCACGCCAUGGUUCCUGGUUGAACCCUCCAAGGACACUUAAAACUCCAAAAUCUUUACAUGGCUUCCAAGGUCCCCGAGAUCUAUGUAUGCCCUCUUUCUGGUCCUAAAACUUAUCGAGCACUUUCUCUCUCCUCAGAGUCUUCGUAUUUCCUCACCCCUCAACGGGGGAAGGAGGGCGAUCUUCCCUCAACUCACAACUCACUUCAGGGCUCAACUUAAAACAGGUCUUCACCUCAGAAAAAAAUCUUCCUUGAAAUCACCUGACUCGUCCAAACCAUUCCUUCUUAUAACUAAUCUCGCUCCUCGCCUUCCAGACACCUCCCAAGAUCCGCUACAGCUUUUUUCAUUCUUUCUAGUCAACGUCGCCAGAGCCGGGUCUGUCCUGCUCAGCCCCGCCCCUGCAAACCAGCACUUCGUCUACACUUGAAGGAGUCGUCGCGCGGGUGCACGGAUGGACCUAAGUGCCUGCGGCCCACGAUCCCAGGGACACAGCUAGCUCUGCCCACGAACCCCAGUGCCGCCUCGACCAGGCCUGCCACCCAUCCACGUGCCUUUCUGCACAGGACACAUCUGUCUCAGGCGGAAGUUCUCAGCGCCGCCUCCAGGAUCCGGGCGGGAGCGAGCUGUGCCUUUUCUCAGCUUCGUGGCUGAAGAGCCAAUGAGCACCUGCCUCGGGGACCUUGGUUAGAUGACUCGGCCCAGACACCGCCUUGACUGUUAAGUGAGAUUUUUGUCACGCGCCUUGGGGUCAUUUCAAGGGCCCUGUCUUUUGUCAUCCUCACAGUUCAGUUUUCUCGGCCUUAGAAGAUCGCUUUUUGGUAAAAUGGGAGGGGAAAAAAAGCCAUAAAACAUAAACCUGGAUAGAGUCGAUGCAGACAUGUUCUCAGCCGAACACCUCUCAAUGCAGGCCCUGCCGAGCAAUAGAAACACUGCUUGAGCUCUCCAGAAGGAGGUCCACUGAGCACAUCAUCUGGCUGAUAGGACUUAUAGAACAUCACAAGAAGAGUGGCCCGUGCAGGACUAAAGUGAUUUCAGCAAACAAAAAAUGGGAUGACAGAAUAUCCCAGCCCAACAAAGUUACAAGGUCUGGCUGUCGAAUUUGUUUCCGGCAUUACCGGUGGCACAUUUACUGCAUGUGAUAACUCUUACUCGAAGGAGAAGAGUGAAAGUAACAUAAAGAGGAAGUGGGGAGGAUUAGAAUUCUCAAGGUUUGUAACUAUAGAAAGAUCAGUAAACCGAAAAUAAUCUGAAAUUGUUGGGCUGUGUGGACCAAGGACAGACGUUACAUUUUUCUUUUCAUCACCUUGAAAUUAAAUAUAGUUAAUUCA